GUGGCUCAGUGGUAGAGUGCUUGCCUUGUAUGCAUGCGGUCCUGGGUUCAAUUCCUCAGC
rnacentral:tRNA from 1 species